UCUGACAGUGUGUAUGUGGUUGCAACACACCGGGUCACCUCCUGGCUGCUCCGCUCCUGCAGGGCGAUGGGCCAGCCUGCGAGUUCCUCCCACUAUUUUUCCACUGAGCGACAAGGCUGCACAUUGUGCUCAGACCGGCCAUCCAGGCAGCCAAGGUUACUCUCACUGACGCUUUCUCUGCUCCAAAGGUGACAAAUGGAGACCUUCAACUAUAAACUGAACACUUAUUUAGAGUCAUGGAUGGGCCCAAGAGAUCAGCGGGUGAGGGGAUGGCUGCUGCUCGACAACUACCCACCUACCUUUGCGCUCACAGUCAUGUACCUUCUCAUCGUGUGGAUGGGGCCAAGGUACAUGAGACACAGGCAGCCGUACUCCUGCAGAGGCUUCCUGGUGCUCUACAAUCUGGGCCUCACGCUCCUGUCCUUCUACAUGUUCUAUGAGCUUGUUACCGCUGUUUGGCACGGUGGAUACAACUUCUACUGCCAGAACACGCACAGCGCACAUGAGGUGGAUAAUAAAAUCAUUAAUGUCCUGUGGUGGUACUACUUCUCCAAGCUCAUUGAGUUCAUGGACACCUUUUUCUUCAUCCUACGAAAGAAUAAUCACCAGAUCACCUUUCUUCACAUCUACCACCAUGCCAGCAUGUUGAAUAUUUGGUGGUUUGUUAUGAACUGGGUACCCUGCGGCCACUCGUACUUCGGUGCCACUUUAAACAGCUUUGUCCACGUCGUGAUGUAUUCGUACUACGGCCUCUCAGCCAUCCCAUCUAUGCGGCCGUACCUCUGGUGGAAGAAAUACAUCACACAGUUUCAACUGAUCCAGUUCUUUCUAACCAUGUCUCAGACAUUGUGUGCAGUUGUAUGGCCGUGUGGAUUCCCUAUGGGAUGGCUGUACUUCCAGAUAAGCUACAUGGUCACGCUCAUCUUUCUUUUCUCAAACUUCUACAUUCAGACCUACAAGAAGCACAGCAUUUCUCUAAAGAAGGAGCAUCAGAACGGCUCUCCUCUACCAACAAAUGGGCACGCAAAUGGGACUGCAUCUUCUGAGCACAUCGGACACAAGAAACUGAGGAUGGAUUGACAUUUGAGAAACCGUCACCCAGCUCUCACUGUAGCGUGUUAGCUAAUGCUGCUAAGAGAUGCAGAAUGGACGGUUUCUCCUUUUACAACAACAACAACAACAACAAAAAAAAAAACACAUCACAACCUUAAAAAAUGUUGUUACAUAACAAUUCUUUGGAUUUCUUGAUCUUGUUGGUAAAACAAAUAUGUAAACUAUUUAUUCCUUUUUUUUCCUGUUAUUUUCUUUACACCCCUGCCAAGGGCUUACACAGUAACUGCUGGUAAAGAAAACUACAGAACAGUAAUGUUUGACCUGUAAACGCCUGCUGUGUGGCUCUGCAGUGCUGCACUAACAUGCUGAUUCAGUUUAAUGAGGGACUGUGUGGCCUUACCACUGAAUGGGCACAGCUCAGAUGUAAAGGUGACCUACAUUCAUACUCACUGCAUUAGAAAAUGUUGUUAAAAUCUGAAUAAUACAUGCAAAGGUCGUCUUUUCUCUGCAUGAGGAAUUAGGUCCAUUGGAUAUCUGCUGAUAACACACAUGCAUGAAGCAUAUCUGCACAGAUGAUGAAUUAUGACUUAUUUUCAUAAUGUAUAAUGCUAAAUGCCAGUCCUGUUACAGUUCCUCUUCUUUUAAGAGCAAUAGUGCUGAAGAUACAAAUAUUUCUAUAUUUAAGGGCGGGAUAAGCAUCAUAUAUUCUUAAUAAUAAAGGCCAAGGAAGCAUACAUGUAUGUAUGGGUCGCACAACAUACAUGUAUGACGAUAAAUAAUUGUAUAUUUUGAGAAAUCUUGGGUAAACUGACUGAGGCUUUACUUACUGUAACAACAUUAAAAACCAACUGAGAAUGUGA